rnacentral:rRNA from 1 species
UGGGGAAUUUUGGACAAUGGGCGAAAGCCUGAUCCAGCCAUGCCGCGUGCAGGAUGAAGGCCUUCGGGUUGUAAACUGCUUUUGUACGGAACGAAAAGACUCUGGUUAAUACCUGGGGUCCAUGACGGUACCGUAAGAAUAAGCACCGGCUAACUACGUGCCAGCAGCCGCGGUAAUACGUAGGGUGCAAGCGUUAAUCGGAAUUACUGGGCGUAAAGCGUGCGCAGGCGGUUAUAUAAGACAGAUGUGAAAUCCCCGGGCUCAACCUGGGAACUGCAUUUGUGACUGUAUAGCUAGAGUACGGCAGAGGGGGAUGGAAUUCCGCGUGUAGCAGUGAAAUGCGUAGAUAUGCGGAGGAACACCGAUGGCGAAGGCAAUCCCCUGGGCCUGUACUGACGCUCAUGCACGAAAAGCGUGGGGAGCAAACAGGAUUAGAUACCCUGGUAGUCCACGCCCCUAAAACGAUGUCAACUGGUUGUUGGGGUCUUCACUGACUCAGUAACGAAGCUAACGCGUGAAGUUGACCGCCU